rnacentral:rRNA from 1 species
CCCUUAGAUGUCCGGGGCUGCACGCGCGCUACACUGAAGGAAUCAGCGUGCUAGAAAACCUUGUUUGACAUGGCUAGGUAACCCGUUGAAAAUCUUUCGUGAUUGGGAUCGGGACUUGCAAAUGUGUCCCUUGAACGAGGAAUUCCCAGUAAGUGCGGGUCAUAAGCUCGCGCUGAUUACGUCCCUGCCCUUUGUACACACCGCCCGUCGCUCCUACCGAUUGAAUGUUCCGGUGAGCUCUUCGGACUGCGCGGUCUGCAGUUUCUGCGUUCCGUGCGGAAAGUUGCGCAAACCUUAACAUUUAGAGGAAGGAGAAGUCGUAACA